AGAGUUUGAUUCUGGCUCAGGACGAACGCUGGCGGCGUGCUUAACACAUGCAAGUCGAACGAUGAAGCCUAGCUUGCUAGGUGGAUUAGUGGCGAACGGGUGAGUAACACGUGAGCAACGUGCCCAUAACUCUGGGAUAACCUCCGGAAACGGUGGCUAAUACUGGAUAUCUAACACGAUCGCAUGGUCUGUGUUUGGAAAGAUUUUUUGGUUAUGGAUCGGCUCACGGCCUAUCAGCUUGUUGGUGGGGUGAUGGCCUACCAAGGCGACGACGGGUAGCCGGCCUGAGAGGGCGACCGGCCACACUGGGACUGAGACACGGCCCAGACUCCUACGGGAGGCAGCAGUGGGGAAUAUUGCACAAUGGGCGAAAGCCUGAUGCAGCGACGCCGCGUGAGGGAUGAAGGCCUUCGGGUUGUAAACCUCUUUCAGCAGGGAAGAAGCGCAAGUGACGGUACCUGCAGAAGAAGCGCCGGCUAACUACGUGCCAGCAGCCGCGGUAAUACGUAGGGCGCAAGCGUUGUCCGGAAUUAUUGGGCGUAAAGAGCUCGUAGGCGGUUUGUCGCGUCUGGUGUGAAAACUCGAGGCUCAACCUCGAGCUUGCAUCGGGUACGGGCAGACUAGAGUGCGGUAGGGGAGACUGGAAUUCCUGGUGUAGCGGUGGAAUGCGCAGAUAUCAGGAGGAACACCGAUGGCGAAGGCAGGUCUCUGGGCCGCAACUGACGCUGAGGAGCGAAAGCAUGGGGAGCGAACAGGAUUAGAUACCCUGGUAGUCCAUGCCGUAAACGUUGGGCACUAGGUGUGGGGCUCAUUCCACGAGUUCCGUGCCGCAGCAAACGCAUUAAGUGCCCCGCCUGGGGAGUACGGCCGCAAGGCUAAAACUCAAAGGAAUUGACGGGGGCCCGCACAAGCGGCGGAGCAUGCGGAUUAAUUCGAUGCAACGCGAAGAACCUUACCAAGGCUUGACAUGCACGAGAAGCCACCAGAGAUGGU
rnacentral:rRNA from 1 species